rnacentral:rRNA from 1 species
UGAGGGAUAUUGGGCAAUGGGGGAAACCCUGACCCAGCGACGCCGCGUGAGGGAAGACGGUCUUCGGAUUGUAAACCUCUGUCUUUGGGGACGAAAAGGACGGUACCCAAGGAGGAAGCUCCGGCUAACUACGUGCC